rnacentral:snoRNA from 1 species
CCCGAUGAUUGCAACAAGAGUGAGCUGAGGGGGUGAUGACCGACUUCUCGCUGAGG